UCCGUAGGUGAACCUGCGGAAGGAUUAUUACCGAGUUAGGGUCCAUCAAGGGCCCGACCUCCCAACCCUUUGCUUAUUAUACCUUGUGCUGCUUCGGUAGGUCUGGCUCGUCCUACCGGAGGACCGUAAAACGUCCUCUGGAGAGUGCCUACCGAUAGCCCAAACCAAAAACUCUUGAACAAAACAUGUCUUGUCUGAGUAAACAAAAAAAAUUAAAGCAAAACUUUCAACAACGGAUCUCUUGGUUCUCGCAUCGAUGAAGAACGCAGCGAAAUGCGAUAAGUAAUAUGAAUUGCAGAUAUUCGUGAAUCAUCGAAUCUUUGAACGCACAUAGCGCCCUUUGGUAUUCAAAGGUCAUGCCUGUU
rnacentral:rRNA from 1 species